rnacentral:rRNA from 1 species
GGACCGUCGAUGUCUACUAGUUGUCGGGUCUUAAUUGACUUGGUAACGCAGCUAACGCGUGAAGUAGACCGCCUGGGGAGUACGGUCGCAAGAUUAAAACUCAAAGGAAUUGACGGGGACCCGCACAAGCGGUGGAUGAUGUGGAUUAAUUCGAUGCAACGCGAAAAACCUUACCUACCCUUGACAUGGCUGGAAUCCCCGAGAGAUUGGGGAGUGCUCGAAAGAGAACCAGUACACAGGUGCUGCAUGGCUGUCGUCAGCUCGUGUCGUGAGAUGUUGGGUUAAGUCCCGCAACGAGCGCAACCCUUGUCAUUAGUUGCUACGAAAGGGCACUCUAAUGAGACUGCCGGUGACAAACCGGAGGAAGGUGGGGAUGACGUCAAGUCCUCAUGGCCCUUAUGGGUAGGGCUUCACACGUCAUACAAUGGUACAUACAGAGCGCCGCCAACCCGCGAGGGGGAGCUAAUCGCAGAAAGUGUAUCGUAGUCCGGAUUGUAGUCUGCAACUCGACUGCAUGAAGUUGGAAUCGCUAGUAAUCGCGGAUCAGCAUGUCGCGGUGAAUACGUUCCCGGGUCUUGUACACACCGCCCGUCACACCAUGGGAGCGGGUUUUACCAGAAGUAGGUAGCUUAACCGCAAGGAGGGCGCUUACCACGGUAGGAUUCGUGACUGGGGUGAAGUCUAAAAGGGGGGGACCAAAAAAAAAAAAAAAACCCCAAUUCCCCCAC